UAUAAUUGAGAAAGAGUUUGAUCCUGGCUCAGAAUGAACGUUAAUAAUUAGCUUAACACAUGCGAAUUAAAUUAAUUUAUAUUUAUUAUAAAUUAGUAGUGUACGGGUGAGUAAAAUAUAGAAAUUAACCUUUAAGAAUUAUUUAAUAUAUGAGAAGAUUGAAUCACUUUUAGAAAAGUCUAUAUAAGAUUAAGUUGUUGGUAUAAUAAAAGUAUACCAAGCUUAUGAUCUUUAGCUGGUCUUUGAGGAUGAACAGCCACAUUGGAAUUGAAAAACGGUCCAAACUUCAAUAGAAGGCAGCAGUGGGGAAUCUUGGGCAAUGAGCGAAAGCUUGACCCAGCUAAAUUAUUUGUGUGAAUAAAAUGUAUAAUUUUAAAACACUUCAAAAAGUUAUAAUAAUGAUAAUUUAAUUAGUCCUGGCAAAUUCCGUGCCAGCAGCCGCGGUAAAACGGGAAGGGCAAACGUUAUUCAAAUUGAUUGGGCGUAAAGUAUAUGUAGGCGGAAAAUUAACUUCUUAAUUUAAAUUUUAAAUUUUAUUUUUAUAAAAAUUAUUAAAAUGAUUUUCUAGAGUUUAAAAGAAGAUUAUAGAACUUUAAAUGUAACAGUAAAAUGUUUUGAUAUUUAAAAGAAUCUCAAAGGCGUAAGCAGUAAUCUAAUUUAAAACUGACGUUGAGAUAUUAAAGUGUGGGUAGCAAAAGGGAUUAGAUACCCCUGUAGUCCAUACCCUGAACAAUGAGUGCCUAUUUAUAAGUAAAAUUAUAAAUAAAAUUAACGUAAAAGCACUCCGCCUGGGAACUACGAUUGCAAAAUUAAAACUCAAAGGAAUUGACGGGGACCUGCACAAGCAGUGGAGCAUGUGGUUUAAAUCGACAAUACGCGCGAAAUCUUACCAAUUUUUGAAUAUAGUUACAGGUGUUGCAUGGCUGUCGUCAGUCCGUGCUGUGAAGCGUUUGGUUCAUUCCAAUAAACGGACGAAACUUUUAUGUAUUUUAGAAUACAAACUGUUAAAGAUAUUUUAAAGGAAGGCAAAAAUGACGUCAAGUCCUCAUGACCCUUAUAAAUUGGGCUACUUUCAUGUGCUACAAUGGUUUUUUCAAAAAGAAGCAAUAAUGCAAAUUUUAGCAAAUCUUUAAAAUAAAACCAUAUCGAAUUGCUUUCUGAAACUCGAAAGUAUGAAGAUGGAAUUGCUAGUAAUCGUAAAUUAGAAUGUUACGGUGAAUACGUUCUCAGGUCUUGUACACACCGCCCGUCACGCUAUGGGAAUUUAUUUUGUUGGAAAAUUUGAUUAUUUAAUAAUUGAUUUAUAGCAAAAGAAGGACUGAAGUGAAGUCGUAACAAGGUAGCCGUAGGGGAACCUGUGGCUGGAAAAUUUAAUCAACUCUACUAUUC
rnacentral:rRNA from 1 species